GACGAACGCUGGCGGCGUGCCUAAUACAUGCAAGUCGAACGCAGUGGGGACGGGUGAGUAACACGUGGGUAACCUCCCAUCAGAGGGGAUAACACUUGGAAACAGGUGCUAAACCGAUACUGAUGGAUGGACCCUCGGUUCAUUGGCUAGUUGGGGGGGUAACGGCGAACCAAGGCCACGAUUCAUAGCCGGCCUGAGAGGGUGAUCGGUCACACUGGGACUGAGACACGGCCCAGACUCCUACGGGAGGCAGCAGUGGGGAAUCUUCGGCAAUGGACGAAAGUCUGACCGAGCAACGCCGCGUGAGUGAAGAAGGUUUUCGGAUCGUAAAACUCUGUUGUUAGAGAAGCGGUAUCUACACAGAAAGCCACGGCUAACUACGUGCCAGCAGCCGCGGUAAUUC
rnacentral:rRNA from 1 species